rnacentral:rRNA from 1 species
AACGAACGCUGGCGGCAUGCCUAACACAUGCAAGUCGAACGAGACCUUCGGGUCUAGUGGCGCACGGGUGCGUAACGCGUGGGAACCUGCCCUUAGGUUCGGAAUAACUCCCCGAAAGGGGUGCUAAUACCGGAUAAUGUCUUCGGACCAAAGAUUUAUCGCCUUUGGAUGGGCCCGCGUUGGAUUAGCUAGUUGGUAGGGUAAAAGCCUACCAAGGCGACGAUCCAUAGCUGGUCUGAGAGGAUGAUCAGCCACACUGGGACUGAGACACGGCCCAGACUCCUACGGGAGGCAGCAGUGGGGAAUAUUGGACAAUGGGCGAAAGCCUGAUCCAGCAAUGCCGCGUGAGUGAUGAAGGCCUUAGGGUUGUAAAGCUCUUUUACCCGGGAUGAUAAUGACAGUACCGGGAGAAUAAGCUGCGGCUAACUCCGUG